AACCAUUCCAGAUGACCCUGGCCAUUAGCAGCAGGCUAUUAACGCAGCACUGAGAUUCUGUUGGUGUACUUCUCUGCCAUGAGAGUUCUCUAACUCUCUCUGCUAACUUCAGAGUUCCUAUAUGCACACUGGCUUCCCUCUAGCCAUCUCCAAGCUGAAGAAAGAUGUCACUACCUCCACCAACUUGUAGGAAGAGAAUUGAAUGUGAGUGGCCUGCCUUGGAAAUUACUCUUCUGCCUAGAUAGCUGGGAUUUGAUGCCUUCGUCAUUCAGAGAAAAUGCAACAAUUAAGAAUGUCCUUAAGAGACUGACUCUUGUCUUCCCCAAGUGCCUGUGGCCAGAGGUGACAACACAAGGAAGAAUCCCCAAAGAAGCAUCCUGUCAGUGCAGACACUGCCUCGUUCUUCAGGAGAGCUAAUUGGGGAGGGACCAAGUCAAAUCUGUCACCUCCUGAAAAUAAUCUUUCCAGAAGAGAGUCUAUGCUUACUACAUUCCUCCUGAAAAGGAGAUUUUUGUCUUUGUAAUAUAUUUUAGCACCUCUGAACCACUUUACAAAGAGUACACAAAUAAAAAGAAAUGUUUUCUCCA
ensembl:lncRNA